rnacentral:rRNA from 1 species
AACGAACGCUGGCGGCAUGCCUAACACAUGCAAGUCGAACGAGGCCUUCGGGUCUAGUGGCGCACGGGUGCGUAACGCGUGGGAACCUGCCCUUAGGUUCGGAAUAACUCCCCGAAAGGGGUGCUAAUACCGGAUAAUGUCUUCGGACCAAAGAUUUAUCGCCUUUGGAUGGGCCCGCGUUGGAUUGGCUAGUUGGUAGGGUAAAAGCCUACCAAGGCGACGAUCCAUAGCUGGUCUGAGAGGAUGAUCAGCCACACUGGGACUGAGACACGGCCCAGACUCCUACGGGAGGCAGCAGUGGGGAAUAUUGGACAAUGGGCGAAAGCCUGAUCCAGCAAUGCCGCGUGAGUGAUGAAGGCCUUAGGGUUGUAAAGCUCUUUUACCCGGGAUGAUAAUGACAGUACCGGGAGAAUAAGCUCCGGCUAACUCCGUG